AAACAUUUACAAAUCCAGACGUUCCCUACAAUUCAAUCAACUACAGCGGGACCCAAAUAAAUAUAUGGGGGUCAACUCCUCAAAGUGCCAUUGAAGAACUUUCACGUGGUUUAUCAAGAAACUUAAAUAAAAAUCAGCAAAUGUUUGGGCCUAAUCAAUCGGGGAAUUACAAUGGAUAUUUAACUGAGGAGAUGCUGAAGAAAGCUGAAAAUAGACAACUUCUGACAGUUGGAGACUUGAAGAAUGCAAUAAGACAGUGUUCUCCCAGAAUUGAAGAAGUUCAGGAAACAAUUCCCAUUGAAUAUAAAAAAAUAUCCGAUCCAAUUAUUUCCAACAAAAGUCCGGGAAACGGCGAUUGGAGAGGCCAGCUCACGCACAUAUAUGCACAUUUGACGACACGUGCAAAAAAAGAUCACGAAUUUUUGCAAGAUCUUAGUUAUUCCAAAUUUGGGAAGG